ensembl:lncRNA
GUCAAUAUGAAUGAAUACAAACUGUGUAGUUAUUCCCUCCAUAAGGCAAUCAAACAGGCAAAAUGUCAGUACAGAGACAAAGUGGAGUCGCAAUUCAACGGCUCAGACAAGAGACGUAUGUGGCAGGGUAUACAAACAAUCAUGGACCACAAAGGGAAAACCAGUCAUGUCGCGGGCACCGACGUUUUGCUUCCGGAAGAAGCUAAACACCUUUUCUGCCCACUGAGGAUAACACAGUGGUAACGAUUUGGCCAGCUACCAUUAAUCAGUAGAACACACCUGACACUAAUUCACCAGUCAUACAGUCAUCAAAAAGAGUGCUGGCCCAAGCAAGAAAUGGCAGCAGUGCAAUCAUCUAUAUGAACAUUUCUUCACCAAAUACGGAGUUGGGAAAACACAUGUGGACCUGAAUUGUUAUAACUGCAGUGGCCAAAGCAAAAACAAGUUUGUGCUCUGGUAUUGUACCUGGUGGACCAUGCACAAGCUCAACCAAAAUCUGGAUCUUCACUUCCUGAUCACAGGCCACACCAAGUUUGCCCCUGACUUGUGCUUCGGCCUCAUCAAGCAGAGGUUCAGAAAGACCAGAGUGAACACUUUGUCUGAGAUUGGUGGUGGGAAAUAACACAAGUAUAGACCAAAAUGGACCUUUCUCCAAGGAAAUGACCCAGGACUUUUAUUCAGGAAAGUAACAACUGAAAUCGCCACGCUAGGUAACAAUAAAACCAAAACCUAGCUUGUCUUUGAACCUUUCUAUACGGGUCUUCCAGUCCCUCUCUGCUACCGACGUAGGCCCCUGGAUCUGCCUAUUUAUACAGGGGUUGUGACCGAUGUUCUUAGGGAUCUGCAGUACUGCUGAUCCUGACAACUACCUUAGCAGUCGUCUCCCCUGUGAUGGACACAGAUCAAUGUUUGUUACAGCAGGGCUGUGUUAUACUGUGAUGCUAUCACUAGUGGUGUUGUUGUACUGAUUUAUUCUGGUGGACUGGUGGCAGGAAUAUAACCUCUCCCUCAACAAAACAAACAAGCUGUGCAAACUAAACGGAAACAACACAGGAUGUCUUAUAAAAGGGGUUGCAGUCGGCCGUGAAGCUUUCAUCCAUGUAUACAGGUAGGCAUCUAGCUACAGAUAUUAUACGUUUCUAAUUUGGUCAGAAAGUUGUUUACAUUGCAAGUUAAACUGUUAGCUAGCCAGUUGGAGUUUGAUGGCUGGCUUGUUAACUAUCAAUGAACCUAACUUUAGCUUGUUAUGACAAUUGGUUUGUAUUGCUAGUAAAGUUACUCUGUGGAUUGGGAUUAUAGUUCAUUUUUUUAGCUAGCUAGCUAAUGUUAAUGUGACAUGUCUGAACAAAAGAUUCCAAG